rnacentral:rRNA from 1 species
UAACACGUAGGGGACAAGCGUUAUUCGGAAUUACUGGGCGUAAAGGGCAUGUAGGCGGCCUGAUAAGCCUGGCGUGAAAGUCAUCGGCUUAACCGGUGGAUUGCGUCGGGAACUGUUGGGCUUGAGUCAUGGAGAGGAAGGCAGAAUUCCUGGUGUAGGGGUGAAAUCUGUAGAGAUCAGGAAGAAUACCAGUGGCGAAGGCGGCCUUCUGGCCAAUGACUGACGCUGAGGUGCGAAAGUGUGGGGAUCAAACAGGAUUAGAUACCCUGGUAGUCCACACUGUAAACGAUGUGCACUAGGUGCUGGGGCGGAUGCUUCAGUGCCGGAGCUAACGCGGUAAGUGCACCGCCUGGGGAGUAUGCUCGCAAGGGUGAAACUCAAAGGAAUUGACGG